rnacentral:rRNA from 1 species
UGGGGAAUAUUGGACAAUGGGCGGAAGCCUGAUCCAGCAACGCCGCGUGAGGGAUGACGGCCUUCGGGUUGUAAACCUCUUUCACCAUUGACGAAGUUGCAUCUUUUUGGGUGUGGUGACGGUAGGUGGGGAAGAAGCACCGGCCAACUACGUGCCAGCAGCCGCGGUAAUACGUAGGGUGCGAGCGUUGUCCGGAAUUAUUGGGCGUAAAGGGCUCGUAGGCGGUUUGUCGCGUCGGGAGUGAAAACCUCGGGCUUAACUCGGGGCUUGCUUUCGAUACGGGCAGACUAGAGGUAUGCAGGGGAGAACGGAAUUCCUGGUGUAGCGGUGAAAUGCGCAGAUAUCAGGAGGAACACCGGUGGCGAAGGCGGUUCUCUGGGCAUGAUCUGACGCUGAGGAGCGAAAGUGUGGGGAGCGAACAG